rnacentral:rRNA from 14 species
AUCUGUAGCCAUAUUACUCCCAAAUGUGUCCGAUCUUUCUUAAUAUUGGAAACUAAACAGGUCAGGCCUGGUCAAUACUUGGAUGGGAGACUACCUGGAGAUUCUGGGUUCUGUAGGCU